AUUGAACGCUGGCGGCAGGCCUAACACAUGCAAGUCGGGCGCGCGGCGGACGGGUGAGUAAUGUAUGGGGAUCUGCCUGAUGGCGGGGGAUAACUACUGGAAACGGUAGCUAAUACCGCAUACCAUCAGAUGAACCCAUAUGGGAGUAGCUAGUAGGUAAGGUAACGGCUGACCUAGGCGACGAUCCCUAGCUGGUCUGAGAGGAUGACCAGCCACACUGGAACUGAGACACGGUCCAGACUACUACGGGAGGCAGCAGUGGGGAAUAUUGCACAAGGGGCGCAAGCCUGAUGCAGCCAUGCCGCGUGUAUGAAGAAGGCCUUCGGGUUGUAAAGUACUUUCAGUCGGGAGGCGUUACCGGCAGAAGAAGCACCGGCUAACUCCGUGCCAGCAGCCGCGGUAAUAC
rnacentral:rRNA from 1 species